UACAGAGGGUGCAAGCGUUAAUCGGAAUUAUUGGGCGUAAAGAGCAUGUAGGUGGCUUGUUAAGUCUGAUGUGAAAGCCCUGGGCUUAACCUGGGAAUUGCGUUGGAAACUGACGAGCUAGAGUCGGACAGAGGGCCGUGGAAUUUCCGGUGUAGCAGUGAAAUGCGUAGAGAUCGGAAAGAACACCCGUGGCGAAGGCGGCGGCCUGGGACCAGACUGACACUGAGGUGCGAAAGCAUGGGGAGCGAACAGG
rnacentral:rRNA from 1 species